rnacentral:lncRNA from 1 species
UCAACCCUAAUUAUGAGGAUCUAAAUAAUCACUAUUUAAUUAUUUUGGAAUUAUUAUUUAAGUGCUAAAUAAGGAUUUAUUAGUAUUUUAGUUAAACAUUAUCCAAAUGCCACCAAAUUUUGUGUGGAGCCAGGGAAUACCACUCAGAGGCUCUCCACAAUUUUUGGUGAUUUUUGGACCUCCUAAUAAAUUACUAAAAUUCCUAGAAGUUUUAUUCACUAAUUAAAGAGCCAAUUUUUAUAGACAUGCAAACUAUCAGAGAAAUAAAUUCUAAUAUUUUUCCUAGGCUCUAUACAUUUUCUGGAACCUACCCAAAAAGUUUCACUAUUUUUGGACCACUACACAAUUCAAUAAUCAAAUUCAAAUAUCAAACAUUUUUUAAACAAAAAGGAAAAAAAAAGAAAAGUGCACUGUGCAGUGCUGGCGGCCUGCUCGGACCCAGCCCAAGACGGCCCGCGAGCUCUCCCGCUCUCAGCGCCCUCUCCCUCUCUCUCACGCGGUCGCUGACGGGCGGGUCCCGCUCGUCAGCUCCAUCUCCUUCCUAGCGCCGCGGCACCGGCGAGCUCCAGCAUGCCGUCGGCGAGCUCUCGGCCUCCGCGGUGAGACGCGUUAGCUUCCUCAACCUCCCGCGCACCCAGGGACACCCUUUUCUCCCACUCUCCUCUAUCCUACUCCCGUGACCACGGGCACGGCGGACGGCCGCCUCGGCCGAGCAAACGCCGGCCACUACGAGCGAGUAGAGCGUGACUGGAGCAGCGCAAAAGCACCAGGGGCUCACCACGACUACAACCGAGCAAGAAGCGGCAGCGUAGAGGCUCCGGUUGACGCUGGCCACGGUGACGUGCUCGCGGCGGCGCUCGGCCGGAGUUGAGGAGGGAAACGGCUCGGGUAGGAGCUACGGUAGGGUAGAGCGUGUGUUUGGGGGUGCAAUCGGUGGCGGGGCUCAAGGCGGAGCUGCUGGGGUGCUCAAAUGGCUUGGAAUGGCAACGGGUGAGGCGAAUUUGGUCGGCGCAGGAAACUCGUCGGCGUCGGGGUUCAAGAAAAGAAAGAGGGGACUCCGGCCACUCGGGGCUUUAUCCCCACGACAGAAGGCGGUUCGCGGAUGAGGACGUCCACGCGAAGCACAGCAGCAAGCAGCUGCGUGGCCAGCUGCGUGGCGGCGUGCGCGGAGGCGGCUCUGCCCCGGCGGCAGAGCACCCCCCCCCCUGCCGAUCACUGUAGCAGUCCUCAUCCACAGUUUGUCUUCUUGCGAAAUUCGACCAAAACUUGAACUAAAGUCAAAUUUCCACCAAAACGAAAGUUGUACAAAAUUUUGUAAACUACAAAUCAUAUUUUGGUGGCCAUAGCUGAUUCCGAGUGGAAGGUAGCCAAUUUGGCUAAACAGUUUGGAAUUUCAACUCAAAUCGAUGAAAUUCAAAUUUUUGAAUUGGGGGCAAAAUAGGAUUUCCAAAAUUACUUUUGUUUUUCCUAAACAACUUGAAAAACUCCCAACAUGAAAGUUGCUCAACUUUUUGUGUUCUACAACUUUCAUGUUGACCACUUUUCAAAAUUCCCACUGGAUUUUGAAUUGGAGGUUUAAUUUGGAAAAGGGGACACUUUUCGGAAAUCUGUAUUUUCAAAAUUACUUUAAAUUUUGUAUUGAAACUUCAAAAACUCAAAACACCAAAGUUGUACAUCUUGCCAAGAGCUACAACUUUGCUUUUGAACUCAACCUCAAAUUUUGCUUAGUUUUUGACUUAUGCAAAAGGGGGCAAAUAUAGGAUCCAGAAAUCAGGGUUUUUUUUCCCCCUUAGCUUUUCGGAAAAUUUCCACCCUAGGAUUUUAGCAACCACACAAGCAUCAACAUUCCACAUAAACACACUCUACCUCCCUAAGCUCAAGCAAUAAAAAUAAACUUGUUUUAAGUUGAUGCAUACAAAUGUGCUUUAACAACUAUGCUUUGCAAUGCUUAUGAUGACAUGAUCCGUUUUUAGUAACCGUAACAUCGGAGAUGUUACAGCCCUUCCCCCUUAAAGAAAUCUCGUCCCCGAGAUUUAAAACCUUAGGGUAAGUAAUGGAAAAGGAAAUUUGUCAAAAAUUUUUUAUCUUCAACUUUCCCAUACGGCAAGAAGUUGGGGAAAACACUCCAUUAUAAGCAUAUAUGUACAUUAAGUACAUGGCCCUGGCGACUCUUUUCCUUCACUAGAGUACACUCUUUAUUUAUCAUAUGUUCUCCUGAAGAGAAGUGUGGAAUUCAGGGAAAUUCUCUAGCAAGUAAUCUUCAGAUUCCCAGGUGGCUUCCUCUUCAGAGUGCUGGCUCCAUUGUACCUUGUACCAUUUAGUGGUUGUUCUUCGAGUAACUCUAUCUUUCUGAUCCAGUACUCGGAUAGGAUACUCCGAAUAAGUUAGAUCUGGUUCAAGUUCUACAUCCUCAAUAUCUUGAACUCGGUCGGGUACCCGAAGACACUUUUUCAGUUGAGACACAUGGAACACAUUAUGCACCCCGGAUAAUCGUUCAGGCAGUUUAAGGCGGUAAGCGACCUGUCCACAGCGGUCAAUGAUUGGAAAUGGACCAAUGUAACGAGGCGCUAACUUGCCUUUAACACCAAAACGAUUUACUCCUUUCAUUGGGGAUACUUUCAAAUACACAUGAUCACCUUUGGCGAAUUUUAAUGGUCGACGUCUUUUAUCAGCGUAACUUUUCUGUCGAGAUUGAGCAAUUUCCAAGUUAUUUUGGAUUUGUUUCACUUUGUUCUCAGUCUCUUUCACUAAGUCAACUCCGAAGAACCAUCUUUCUCCAGGUUCCGACCAGUGUAACGGAGUUCGACAUCGACGACCAUACAGUGCCUCAAAGGGAGCCAUUUUGAUACUUUCUUGAUAGCUAUUAUUGUAGGAAAAUUCUGCUAGAGGCAAGCAGUCAUCCCACUUAUCUGGAAAAUUCAGGGCACAAGAUCUUAAUAGAUCUUCUAGGGUUUGAUUCACCCUUUCAGUUUGCCCACCGGUUUGAGGGUGGUAGGCUGUGCUGUAUAAAAGCUUAGUGCCCAGGGACUCAUGUAAACAUUUCCAGAAUUGGGAGACAAAUUGUGUGCCUCUAUCUGACACUAUUGUCUUUGGCACCCCAUGCAGACUUAGGAUACGGUCGAAAUAAAUCUUAGCAUAGGUGGAGGAAGGAUACAAUAGCUUUACAGGCAGAAAAUGUGCUGUUUUGGUGAGACAAUCUACUAUGACCCAAAUUGAAUCAAAGCUCUUGGCCGUCUUGGGCAAUCCUACUAUGAAAUCCAUACUUAUGUCAUCCCAUUUCCAUGCGGGGAUAGGCAAAGGUUGCAACUCCCCAGCGGACUUGAGAUGAAUGGCUUUGACCUUUCGACAGGUGUCACAUUGGGCCACAUAGCGAGCUAUCUCUAUCUUCAUUUUUGUCCACCAAAACCUUUGCCUUAGGUCCUGAUACAUCUUAUUGCUUCCCGGAUGAAUAGAAUACCUCGUGGUAUGAGCUUCAUCCAGGAUUUGUUGACGUAGCUCAGGUACCUUUGGAACCACUAACCGGUUCUUGAACCAAAUUACUCCUGCAUCAUCCACCUUAAAGUCUGUGGGUGCUCUAUUAGAAAUCUUCUCUUUAAGAUGUCUCAUGCCUUUGUUUUCUUUUUGUGCCUUUAUGAUUUGAGCUUCGAGAUUGAAAUCGAUCUUUAGAUUGGUAAGGCUUCCUUGGGAAAUCAUUUCUAUUCCCAAGUUCUCUAGCUCUUGGCACAAAGUUAUGUCUCUAGGCAUCACUGUUACGCAAUUGCAGUGAGCCUUACGACUGAGGGCAUCAGCUACUACAUUUGCCUUGCCAGGGUGAUAAUGCACCUCAAGGUCGUAAUCUUUAAUUAAUUCUAGCCACCUUCGCUGGCGCAUAUUAAGCUCAGCUUGAGUAAAGAUAUACUUCAAGCUUUUAUGAUCGGUAUAUAGAUGACAUGUGUUCCCCAACAGAUAAUGACGCCAGAUCUUUAAUGCAUGUACCACGGCGGCUAGUUCAAGAUCAUGGGUCGGGUAAUUCUCUUCAUGGGGUUUGAGUUGUCUGGAAGCAUAUGCAAUUACGCGACCCUCCUGCAUUAGCACACAGCCUAUUCCGAUCCCUGAUGCAUCACAAUAUACAUCAAAGGGUUUUUCAAUUUCUGGCUGGGCUAAGACAGGUGCAGUUGUCAACAACCUUUUCAGAGUCUGAAAGGCUUGCUCACAUUGGGGUGACCAAACAAACUUAGUUUGAUUUUUGAGCAAGGUUGUGAUUGGUUUGGCGACUCUGGAAAAGUCCGGGAUAAAACGACGGUAAUAUCCCGCCAUACCCAGAAAACUACGGACCUCAUGUACCGUAGUCGGGGGUUUCCAAUUCAACACAUCUUCUACCUUGCCUUGCCCAACUUUGCGUUCAUCCUAAUUAGCUCAUGCCUAUGUGUGCUCCUAGCUUCUUCCUCUCGGGCAAUGGCUGCAUUCCACUCCUCCACCAUCCGGGACAACAUAGCCUCACAGUUCUCUGUAGCUUGUUUUUCUAUGGCCAGUUGAGCUUUAAGUUUGCCAAUCUCCAUAACAUUGUACAUUCUCUCUCUCAUUACCUCAGUCAACUCGGCGGACAACCUGUCCACCUCCUGCUGAGGCGGCGAACGGCUACUACUGGCUUGAUCACUGCGUGGAGCUAGCUGAUGUCGGGGAACUCCUUUUGGACCAGUCCGCUUACGCGGGGUCUGCUUCUGACGAGCCAUCCUGUAGAGGGUAAGUUUAGAUUAGUAAGAAAGACCUUAAAGGUUAGCAAGAAUAGGAUUGAUUCUAUUCACCCAACCCAAACAAGGAGGAAGGAACUUAACCAGUUAAUACAUCAUGAUGCAUGCACGAACUUACGAUUCCUACUAACAAUUCGUAACGAUAUUACUUUAAACUUUUACAACAUAGGGCAAUACUUUAUGUUGCUCCUCCAUACCACUUCCAAAAAUUCUAAGAAAGCCUAUAGACAGGGGCAGGUUAGGACUAAGCACUUGGACUCAAAAUAGGCAGAUUCAUAGUAUUAGAUCCAAACGAAUUUUUGAAGUUUUUCCAAUAGGUACAGCAGUCAUCUUAGCAACGAAUGCUCUGAUACCAGCUGUGGCAGAACCCCCUAAGUGUUUGGGCCCACCGGCACCUGCCAUUGUCCUAAGGACCUCUGACGGUGAUGCCGGGAGUCCUCCCACUUUAGAAGUCCGAUGAGCACCGCUGGGCGCUCAUUCCACUGCUACCUGUGGCGUACCAAGCUGGCUCGUCCUGACCACUGGUGAUGGUCAAACAACGAGAACGGUUUCUUCUCGCCCUUACAGGAUAGCAAGUGGCCACCUUAACACCAGGAUCAUUCGUUGCGAAGAUAAAGCAGUAACUCAAACGACACAAGACUAAAAUAAUAUUUCAGAGUAAAACAGCGGAAGUAUUACAUAACUUAAUUUACAAAAGGAGUUCUUCCAAAUAGUAGAGUGUUAUUACAAGCCUGGUCCAGCGGAGCAACUGAAACUUUAGUACAGACAGUACAAAUUUACAGACCCUGCCCAUGGGUCACGCUCAUUCUUCUUCGUCGUCAACCUCGACGACGGUCACACAGCAGGGUCCGAAACAAGUCGGCUCCUGCGCUUCACCUGCAACAGGGGUAUUGAAACCCUGAGUACGGGAGUACUCAACAAGACUUACCCGAUGGGAAAAGAGGAGAACUUAGGGAUGCAGGCUUAGGGUAGACAAGGGGUGGCUGAGCAAGGAGCCAAAGUGUUUUGCGUAAAAAGCUUACUAGUAGUGCAUCCUUAUUUUCAAGUUUUACCCACGAAUUCCUCCCUCGCAGAGGCCGAGGAGUUCGAGGAUAGUUUAACUAGUUGUACCCCACAGACGAAUCCGUGAGUUCCUAGUCCUAUCAUAAAGUAUUAUUUAUCGAUGGCCAUAGCUUCAUGUCGCUAUGAGUCCGGGAAUUGGGAUCCGAACCUCAUGAGACAUUUUCCCCUUUCUAUUUUUUUCACUUAGUUGCAUAUUUAACUACGAUGAGGGUCGAAGGAAUUGAGUCUCCCAAUCGGGGAGCAACGACGAUUCGAAUCGCUUAGCAAUCCAGCUGGAGUUCCUAACCACCUGACAUAUGUAGAACUAAAUCUUGCAUAUGUCAACCCAAAUCAAGCUCUCCCCAAAUCUGACCAGGUUCGCGGCACCCGAGAGCACAGUACCCCACCAUCCUACAGCCGAUCUAGAUGUUUUCCGGUCAUCUCAGAUCCGUAAGGUGGGCACACGUUACUCUCGCCAUCUUUCCACUCCCAUUGCGCAAGUAGCUGUUCGCGUCGAGGGAUCACAAGACUGGGCUUACCGAGGGCAGGCGGUUAGUACUAUAAAUUCUCAACCCAGCAGGCCAUCAACGGAACGGUCCUUAAUCGACACAGUCGGAGACACUACUUUAAGACUCCAUUCUUAGAGCAAGUCCACCGACCGGUCUCAAAUUAAAACAUCAUUGAUCAUAAGUGUAUCCCACAACAACCCUUCAAACUUUCUUGUUUAAAAACCUAUCUAGUAGCAGGGCUAAGCAUCGCUACGCAGUUUUUAAAUAAACAGGUGUCAAGGACAGGAUAACAGGUAUCAAGGUAGUAAAUGCAGCAAGUAGGUUAACCCAAUUCUUAACUACAUAAUGCAGCAUUUUCAAUUUACAAGUGAUAAAAGAUUCAAAACAUUCAAGGAUGGGUUAAUGCAUCCGGGGCUUGCCUUGGUUGUAGGGCAGAGAGGGACCCUCGGAGACUUCCCAAGUCUCGGAUCCUACUUCUUCGAAUGGAGCACCGACCUCGGGGCUCGGUUCAACGGGCGCUCCUUCGGUCACGGACACUAUACGCAAAAUGAUGAAUGCUCAUGAUAUGCGUAUGACAAUUAUGCAAGAAGGACCGAAUCGAGUACAACUUGCCUCUUUGAUGCAAUACAGAAUAAUCAAUAAGUAAAGUUGUUUAAUAUCUUAAUGUUUUUACCCAAGAGGUUGCAUCUGUAAACUAAGACUUUAUUUAGUUCAUAAUUAUCUUAAAUUAGCUAAUUAUUAGUCCUAUUACCUUAAUUAAUUUUUAAUCAACUGCUAAUGACAGUAAUUAAGCAUUAAGGCUAAAUAAAAUGCCAAAGGUCAUUAGGGUUAAUGACCUCAGGUCAUCACACAAUCCCAAAAUCACUCAACCCUAAUUAUGAGGAUCUAAAUAAUCACUAUUUAAUUAUUUUGGAAUUAUUAUUUAAGUGCUAAAUAAGGAUUUAUUAGUAUUUUAGUUAAACAUUAUCCAAAUGCCACCAAAUUUUGUGUGGAGCCAGGGAAUACCACUCAGAGGCUCUCCACAAUUUUUGGUGAUUUUUGGACCUCCUAAUAAAUUACUAAAAUUCCUAGAAGUUUUAUUCACUAAUUAAAGAGCCAAUUUUUAUAGACAUGCAAACUAUUAGAGAAAUAAAUUCUAAUAUUUUUCCUAGGCUCUAUACAUUUUCUGGAACCUACCCAAAAAGUUUCACUAUUUUUGGACCACUACACAAUUCAAUAAUCAAAUUCAAAUAUCAAACAUUUUUUAAACAAAAAGGAAAAAAAAAAAGAAAAGUGCACUGUGCAGUGCUGGCGGCCUGCUCGGACCCAGCCCAAGACGGCCCGCGAGCUCUCCCGCUCUCAGCGCCCUCUCCCUCUCUCUCACGCGGUCGCUGACGGGCGGGUCCCGCUCGUCAGCUCCAUCUCCUUCCUAGCGCCGCGGCACCGGCGAGCUCCAGCAUGCCGUCGGCGAGCUCUCGGCCUCCGCGGUGAGACGCGUUAGCUUCCUCAACCUCCCGCGCACCCAGGGACACCCUUUUCUCCCACUCUCCUCUAUCCUACCCCCGUGACCACGGGCACGGCGGACGGCCGCCUCGGCCGAGCAAACGCCGGCC